UACGUAGGGGGCGAGCGUUGUCCGGAGUUACUGGGCGUAAAGGGCGCGCAGGCGGUCUGGUAAGUUUGGAGUGACAGUGCUCGGCUUAACUGAGCAAGGCCUUCGAAAACUAUCAGACUUGAGCACUCAAGAGGGACAUAGAAUUCCGGGUGGAGUGGUGAAAUGCGUAGAUAUCCGGAGGAAUACCAAAGGCGAAGGCAGUGUCCUGGGGAGUGUCUGACGCUCAGGCGCGAAAGCUAGGGGAGCAAACGGG
rnacentral:rRNA from 1 species